rnacentral:sRNA from 1 species
GUUGAAUGGUUACGAGAAAAUAAAAGUUAGCUCUCUUUUAUUCAAGUGCUGGUGAAGAUGUGGUUCAAAUGUAGUAUUCAAGAAUGCUUUCAGCACCUUGGGGGGCCUCUGAAGGAUGCAAUUUCAGUUUUCAUAGUUCUGUGGUGGAGGCUGGUUUCAGCAUGAUCAUUCAAUCGCCUUCUUAUCUUGUCUUUUUCUUUCCCCAUUUUUGAAGCUAGAAAAAAAAAAGUUUGAAGAGAUGUCAUCUUGAAAUUUUGCUUGGAUAUGCUCUAUAUUUGUGAGACUCAAUGCUAUUAUUGCAUUGGAUGGGUUUUUUUUAGGUAUAGCUUCAAAAGCAUGGAAAUUGGCUGAGAAAGGCAUGUGUAGCUAUGUUGUUUGCUACCUCUUCUCCCUUGCUUAGAAGAACAGACACCCCCAUGUCCUUUAUUUGUGUACCCCCGUUAUUUUAGGGGAUAUUUCAUUCUGUAUAGGUUUAUUCAUCAGCAGCUACCGACUAUGAAAAUGACUCAUCUUAUUGGCUCUUUGGU